rnacentral:rRNA from 1 species
UACCAGCACCCCGAGUGGUCGGGACGAUUAUUGGGCCUAAAGCAUCCGUAGCCGGUUCUACAAGUCUUCCGUUAAAUCCACCUGCUUAACAGAUGGGCUGCGGAGGAUACUAUAGAGCUAGGAGGCGGGAGAGGCAAGCGGUACUUAGUGGGUAGGGGUAAAAUCCGUUGAUCCAUUGAAGAACACCAGUGGCGAAGGCGGCUUGCCAGAACGCACUCGACGGUGAGGGAUGAAAGCUGGGGGAGCAAACCGG